rnacentral:rRNA from 3 species
UGUCUGGCAGUUCCCUACUCUCGCAUGGGGAGACCCUACACUACCAUCGGCGCUACGGCGUUUCACUUCUGAGUUCGGCAUGGGGUCAGGUGGGACCACCGCGCUACUGCCGCCA